UACAGAGGGUGCAAGCGUUAAUCGGAAUUACUGGGCGUAAAGCGUGCGUAGCCGGUUAUUUAAGUCAGACGUGAAAUCCCUCAGCUUAACUGGGGAACUGCGUCUGAUACUGGAUGGCUUGAGUUUGGGAGAGGGAUGCGGAAUUCCAGGUGUAGCGGUGAAAUGCGUAGAUAUCUGGAGGAACACCGGUGGCGAAGGCGGCUCUCUGGAACGGUACUGACGCUGAGACGCGAAAGCGUGGGGAGCGAACAGG
rnacentral:rRNA from 1 species